rnacentral:tRNA from 1 species
GCCCUUGUAGCUCAGUGGUAGAGCACUCCCUUGGUAAGGGAGAAGUCACGUGUUCAAUCCACGUCAAGGGCACCA